GGGGACGUAGCUCAGCUGGGAGAGCGCCGCGUUCGCAAUGCGGAGGUCGUGAGUUCGAUCCUCAUCGUCUCCACCA
rnacentral:tRNA from 1 species